ensembl:lncRNA
AUCGUGCAUCCCUAAUUUUGAGUCUGUGUCUGUGAUGCACAAUAUUAUUGAAAUUUACCGAUAUUAUCGGAAUUUACAGCUAUUAUGAUGUUAUUAGAAUUUACCGAUAUUACUGAUCUUAUCGGAAUCGGCUGAUGUUUACAUUUUAAGCCUUUAUCGGCCAGUUCCGAUAAUAUCGUGCAUCCCUGAUUUUGAGUCUGUGUCUGUGAUGCACGAUAUUAUUGGAAUUUACCGAUAUUAUGAUGUUAUUAGAAUUUACCGAUAUUACUGAUCUUAUCGGAAUCGGCUGAUGUUUACAUUUUAAGCCUUUAUCGGCCAGUGCCGACAAUAUUGUGCAUCCCUGAUUUUGAGUCUGGGACUGUUAGUAGUUAGUCCAGAAUGCUUUUGUCUUCAUCCGCAGCACCGGCAGGUUCUGUUCGAGAUCUUCAUGAAGAACUAUCGCUCCUCACGCAGGAGCUCAGUGACGCCGUCACCAAAACCGAUGUGGAUCGACUGCUCAAGGAGUGCUGCAUGAGUUUGGGAGGGAUGUGGUAUCUGAAGGGAACCGUUCCCUCCUGACGGGAAAGCAGGAGCGCCGGAGAUCCUGUCAAUCACGCGGAGCCAACACACCAACCAAUCACUGCCCUCGGCUGACCGCCACCGGCCCAGGGACACGCCCACUUCUGGAGCAUCCGCUCAUCUGGUCACAUGAGCAUCUCACAGAAGGGCUGAAGAUCCAUUCGAUCCUGUGUUUGUGAGAAAUGAAAGACUAGGGAAAGGAGUUGUGCUGAACACGAGCAGACGAUCAGUUACGCUGGGUUUCUUUCGGUUCUUUUUUAUGAUCUAAUAUGAAAGUAGGUUGGUGCUUCUCGACCUUGUUUAUUACAUUAAGCUGACUGAAAAAAGAUGUUUGAUUGAAUCGUUUCCUUGAUUUUAUUACAUAUUAAGUUUAUUUUUCCCUGACUUCACUGUAACCCAAAGAAACACUAGAUCAUAAUUAAUCCUCUGAAAUAUUAAUUUCUCUGCUCACAUGAAUGCUAUGAAGCUCCCGUUGAAGUGUUUACAGAUCUGACAGCCAAGAAAAGGAUGAAACAUUUGGACACGGUUGAUUCUGGAGCAGUUCUGACAGACAAUCCCUGAAAAUCUAAUAUAUGAAUCGAUUCAUAUUUAUUGGACCUGACGGUAGAUUUGCAUCAGAAUGUGAAGUUUUGCAUGACGUUUGCAGUGAAUUUAUAUUUGAAACCUUGUCCAUUUUAUUUCAGAGUGUUUAUGGCGUUCUGAAUAAAUGCUGAAGCAAUUAAGACA